rnacentral:rRNA from 1 species
GAUGAACGCUGGCGGCAUGCCUAACACAUGCAAGUCGAGCGGACGAAGGGGGCGUGUUCCUCGCUUAAGUUGCGGACGGGCGGGUGAUUCAUACGAGGAUGCCCGACAUAGAAGGCUGGGGUACGUAAGCGAGCCCGAAUAUCGUACACGACCAGAUAUUGAACCGCAGGGAUCCAUAGUGAACACGCGAUUAGCUGAGCCUAAGAGAGGUUACCGAGCCGCAUUAGCUAAUUGGUAAGGUAGCGGCGUACCAAGACUACGAUGCGUAGCCGACCUGAGAGGGUGAUCGGCCACACUGGAACUGAGACACGGUCCAGACUCCUACGGGAGGCAGCAGUAGGGAAUCUUCCGCAAUGGGCGAAAGCCUGACGGAGCAACGCCGCGUGAGUGAUGAAGGUCUUCGGAUCGUAAAACUCUGUUAUUGGGGAAGAACAAAUGUGUAAUUAACUAUGCACGUCUUGACGGUACCUAAUCAGAAAGCCACGGCUAACUACGUG